CCGCCAUGGCGCGGGAUUGUGCCAGCCGCCGCGGUAAUACGUAGGUGGCAAGCGUUGUCCGGAAUUAUUGGGCGUAAAGCGCGCGCAGGCGGUUCCUUAAGUCUGAUGUGAAAGCCCCCGGCUCAACCGGGGAGGGUCAUUGGAAACUGGGGAACUUGAGUKCAGAAGAGAAGAGUGGAAUUCCACGUGUAGCGGUGAAAUGCGUAGAGAUGUGGAGGAACACCAGUGGCGAAGGCGACUCUUUGGUCUGUAACUGACGCUGAGGCGCGAAAGCGUGGGGAGCAAACAGGAUUAGAUACCCUGGUAGUCCACGCCGUAAACGAUGAGUGCUAAGUGUUAGAGGGUUUCCGCCCUUUAGUGCUGCAGCAAACGCAUUAAGCACUCCGCCUGGGGAGUACGGCCGCA
rnacentral:rRNA from 1 species